rnacentral:lncRNA from 1 species
ACAGCAACCGGACCAGGCAUCGAGGCUAAAUGCAGCUCUUCACAGCUGGAGUGCUCCGCGAUCCCACCACAGGGACGUUAGUGCUUGUACACUGUCUGUUGCUUUGCUUGGGAUGAGGGACCUGAGAAGACGUCCCACACAGCUUCGCUGCCUAAAGCGAAGUGCCAGGUCCAGUUACCAGGAGGACAGAGCGGGCUCCUUAAAAGCCUUCCAACAAGGGCUCCUUUGCAAGUCCUGGAGUGCUCUCCCAGGGGGGAGCUCAGACCUGCCGCAAGCCACUCUGAUCUGACCUGCCUCUACCCGGUGCGGCUCACCCGGAGGCCCCCAAGCCUCCGUCCCCCUUCUCUUCCUCCCGUUCGGCCGCUGACCAGCACCACGGGCAGCUGGAAGGCCGGGGUCCCACGGCGCAGGGAGGCCCGCGGGCCCGCUUUCUGCGCCGCGGCCUGAGCUCACCCACCUGAUGCUCCUUCACCACUUCGCUGAGGCACGGGUACCGCUCCGAGAUCCAUCGGUAAAACUUGGGGACUCCCAUUUUGACCGUCGACACUAAUUCCGGUCGGUGCAGAAACGAAACCAAACGCCCCGCCCGGGCCUCCGCCGCCGCCUCCGGCCGUCGCUCGGAGGAUGACAACACAAGGUCCGCCAGACCAUAGAGCAAACCGGGGGCCUAGAGGGGCAGGACGGCGCUGGUGGGCGGUGGGGCCUGUCUAUCCCGCUGCCUCACUCUUCCAUACUCGCUGGUGACAGCGCAAGAGGUGUGAUCUGCCCAUUAGCUAGAUCUACGGACUUUGUCAUCUUCCUGUGACAGCUGAUGGCAACCCAAAGAAGACAGGUCAUUGAAACCAAAAUUACCUUCUAAUCUUCCUCCAGAAUUGUAAAAGGAGAAAAAAUUUGAUGUUCUUAAAGAUGUAUCCAUUAGCCUUAAUUUACUCUCAAGGACCCACUCUAGUACUAUUUGUUGUAGCUGUUAUUUAGUUGCUAGGACCUGAAAUCAGGACCUAGAACAUACUGGGUAAGUACUCUUCUACUGAACUACCCUAGAUUGACUUUUUCUUUAACAUAGAUCAGACUUAAAUAGACUAUUUAAGUCUGUUCAAAUUUAAAAAUGUUAAACAACUCCAAUUUCAUGGAACUAAGUCUCUGUAAAAUGAACUGAUCUGCCCAAGUUCACAUAGCUAGUAACUAAGUCACGAUUAAAGUUCAGACUUUCCAUG